GGCCCUUGCCCUCGAAUAGGUGGCGGAUGUCACGUGACGCCUCCAGAACUCGCGAGUCCUGUGGAUUCCCCAAGUGUUCCUGUGGCAGUGGAGGGAGCUUAGUGUGGAUGUGACAAUGUGACUCUGGCAUCCUGUCCUUGCAAUGCUUCCCUCACCGUGUUGAAACUACCUCUUAGAUGUCUCUGAAGCUCUGAGGAAUUCCAUUUCUACUGUAGCUUUUGGUCGUUGGGUCGAACCACCACCUUUCUUUCGGAAUUCUGCAGCAAUUUCCUCAAAAGACUUCCCUUUGGUUUCUGGCACUUUAAAAAAUGUGAACAGGGUAAAGGCCAGGAGCACCCCAGAGAAGAUGAAGAACACAUAGGGUCCACAGAGGUCCUGGAAAGAGAGCAGACAGCCCCGUUACCAGCUGCCAGGCCUGCCUCCUGUUCUGCAAAUGUGCACAAGUCAGGCUGCUUACCACCAUGUACUGGAAACACAGAGCUAUCAGGAAAUUG